rnacentral:rRNA from 1 species
GACGAACACUGGCGGCGUGCUUAACACAUGCAAGUCGAACGGAAAGGCCCUGCUUGCCGGGUACUCGAGUGGCGAACGGGUGAGUAACACGUGGGUGAUCUGCCCUGCACUUCGGGAUAAGCCUGGGAAACUGGGUCUAAUACCGGAUAGGAGCCAUUUUUAGUGUGAUGGUUGGAAAGUUUUUUCGGUGUAGGAUGAGCUCGCGGCCUAUCAGCUUGUUGGUGGGGUAAUGGCCUACCAAGGCGGCGACGGGUAGCCGGCCUGAGAGGGUGGACGGCCACAUUGGGACUGAGAUACGGCCCAGACUCCUACGGGAGGCAGCAGUGGGGAAUAUUGCACAAUGGGCGCAAGCCUGAUGCAGCGACGCCGCGUGGGGGAUGACGGCCUUCGGGUUGUAAACUCCUUUCGCUAGGGACGAAGCUUUUUGUGACGGUACCUAGAUAAGAAGCACCGGCUAACUACGUG